rnacentral:rRNA from 1 species
GACGAACGCUGGCGGCGUGCCUAAUACAUGCAAGUUGAGCGAUGAAGAUUGGUGCUUGCACCAAUUUGAAGAGCAGCGAACGGGUGAGUAACGCGUGGGGAAUCUGCCUUUGAGCGGGGGACAACAUUUGGAAACGAAUGCUAAUACCGCAUAACACCUUUAAACAUAAGUUUUAAGUUUGAAAGAUGCAAUUGCAUCACUCAAAGAUGAUCCCGCGUUGUAUUAGCUAGUUGGUGAGGUAAAGGCUCACCAAGGCGAUGAUACAUAGCCGACCUGAGAGGGUGAUCGGCCACAUUGGGACUGAGACACGGCCCAAACUCCUACGGGAGGCAGCAGUAGGGAAUCUUCGGCAAUGGACGAAAGUCUGACCGAGCAACGCCGCGUGAGUGAAGAAGGUUUUCGGAUCGUAAAACUCUGUUGGUAGAGAAGAACGUUGGUGAGAGUGGAAAGCUCAUCAAGUGACGGUAACUACCCAGAAAGGGACGGCUAACUACGUG